GAUGAACGCUGACAGAAUGCUUAACACAUGCAAGUCUACUUGAACUUCGGUUUGGGUGGCGGACGGGUGAGUAACGCGUACAGAACUUGCCUCACAGUUAGGGACAACAUUUGGAAACGAAUGCUAAUACCUGAUAUUAUGAUUUUAGGGCAUCCUAUAAUUAUGACAGCUAUAUGCGCUGUGAGAGAGCUUUGCGUCCCAUUAGCUAGUUGGAGAGGUAACGGCUCACCAAGGCGAUGAUGGGUAGCCGGCCUGGGAGGGUGAACGGCCACAAGGGGACUGGGACACGGCCCUUACUCCUACGGGAGGCAGCAGUGGGGAAUAUUGGACAAUGGACCAAAAGUCUGAUCCAGCAAUUCUGUGUGCACGAUGACGUUUUUCGGAAUGUAAAGUGCUUUCAGUUGGGAAGAAAAAAAUGACGGUACCAACAGAAGAAGUGACGGCUAAAUACGUG
rnacentral:rRNA from 1 species